rnacentral:rRNA from 1 species
CCUACGGGAGGCAGCAGUGAGGAAUAUUGGUCAAUGGACGAGAGUCUGAACCAGCCAAGUAGCGUGAAGGAUGACUGCCCUAUGGGUUGUAAACUUCUUUUAUAUGGGAAUAAAAUGUUCCACGUGUGGGAUUUUGUAUGUACCAUAUGAAUAAGGAUCGGCUAACUCCGUGCCAGCAGCCGCGGUAAUACGGAGGAGCCGAGCGUUAUCCGGAUUUAUUGGGUUUAAAGGGAGCGUAGGUGGUUUGUUAAGUCAGUUGUGAAAGUUUGGGGCUCAACCGUGGAAUUGCAGUUGAAACUGGUAGGCUGGAGUACAGUAGAGGUGGGCGGAAUUCGUGGGGUAGCGGUGAAAGGCUUAGAGAGCAGGAAGAACUCCGAUUGCGAAGGCAGCUCACUGGACUACAACUGACACUGAGGCUCGAAAGUGUGGGUAUCAAACAGGAUUAGAUACCCCAGUAGUC